AAAUAAAAAAUAUGUCGAUCGAGGCUGGAGACCAGAGAGAGUUGGUAUCUCCGCUGCUGAAGAAGGCGAAGACAGAUCCGGAUGCGACGGAGUUGGUUUGUCCAUCAGAUCCGGAGGAAGAAGAGAUCGAAACAGCGAAUGAUCUUUGAGAAGCAAUUUACAGAGAGUGGGGGUUACGAUGUUGAUUGGGAUAGUAUGGACUACAACUUCCCGGGCAGCAUAGUCGAUUCGAGAGGAGAUUAUGAUGCUCGACUUAGCAAUAAGGAGUUAGUGAAACUGCUCAUAAAUACAGCCAUUGACGAAGAAAACGAAGAAGCUGGAACUGAACUUAAGUUUGUCAAGUAUAUGACUGCAAAUGUAGUGGCCGGCAAAGGGUUUCUGUUUUUUAUUACAUUUUGGGCAAAGGAUCUGUCUGCACCAAAUCCAGAGCCAAAAUGUUACCAAGCGGAGGUGCUCUGGUUUAUGGGUGAUGCCGAUGUUUGUGAAUUCAGGCUCAGGCCAACGAAAUAAUUUGAUCAAUGGGUGAGGUGAUGGUGAUGGUGAUGGUGAUGGAUGAAUCUUGGGUCACUUCCAACUCUGUGGUCUUCCCUUCCACUGAGAAGAAUCUUUAUGUGGAACAUUUUACUUAAUUAUGUAUAUUUUCUUAUUGUGUUUGCAAAAGAUAUAUUGUAGCUAGAAUUAUUUCCUUCUUUCUUA